UAAAGCUCAAGGUUUUCACCAUUUACCUGUUGUGAGAAUGCAUAAGCAAGUGCUCUUUCUCGCCGGUUGGUAGCUUCGAGCCUGUUCUGAAUCCUCAUUCUUAACACAUUGCUGCUAAGUGUGCUGUCAUCCCAAUCUUCCUGCAAUUUCAAACCAUUUUCAGAAAUGCUCGAGUUUUGUUUCAAAAUCAUCAUAUUAUGUUCAUUUACGGUUUACCUUUAAUCUUGAAAUCUGAGUUCUGGUUUUCUUCUGUAACUGGUUAUUACAGUGAGCACCACUCUUCUCUUCUGUUAUUGAGAGCACAUCUAUUGAGUUCCCAGUUUGAACCUCAACAGAUGUACUCACAGAAAAUUUACCAGGACUUCCACUUUCGAUUUCUUGCAUCUCCUGCUGUUCAUCAUCCUCAAUUUUCGCCUCCCCAUCUCGACGUCUUGCCUGGAAUUCAAAUGAAAUGACUGCUAAAAUCAAAAUGCCAUGACAUCUUUUUCCAGUUUUCUGUCAAAAGUAUGAAGUAAAACUAACCAUAAUGAGCCUUCUGAAUGCUGCCUGGAUGAUGAUUGCUGCAGCCUCCUCCUGCCGAGACAACACUACUGUAUGUUCGAUCAUCUCUCCAUUCGAUGACGCAUAAGGCUGAUUGGAAGAAAAUGUGGCCUCCGAGCUCUUCACAGAAGCAGAAUCCUCCUCUGCAAGUACCGAGUCAAACUCCUCAUCCCCACAAAGGUAUGAUCUCACAACGGUCCACCUCUUCUUCUCAUUGCUUCUACUUCCCUGUGAAAAAUAUAAAAACCAGGCAAAAAUUCAUCAUUGUUGAAUUCGGACCAUAUAACAAAUGUACGACUUACAUUGGCUCGAUGAGAAGUUGCAGAAGAAGACGUUCUGGAGAAGACAUUCCUACCAUUGAUCAUUCCCAUUUUCUUUCCCUGUAUAUUUUUCUCCUCAACUGCUGGUAAAUUAUGAGGAGGAAACUAUGGAGGGGAAUCCUUAUAUGAUCAUGAUUACAAGCACUUCUUGAGAGUACUCUGGCAGUUGGCCCUGACUUUAAGCUGUAAAAAUCAAGUCUUUAUUUUGCAUAUGUAGAGAACCCUACCUUAAGAAUAAUUGAUGAGACUUUUUAUUCUUCUUCUAGCAGAUGGGUAUUGUAGAUCACCUUUUAGAGGCACAUGGGCUGCUCACAGAUUGGUGCAAAAGCAAAGCAAGAACCCCCAAAGUCUUUUCCUUGUAACUUAGGCUAAUGUCUGUGCUUUCUUUCUUUAUUCAUGUGUUGCUGGCUUGGCUUAGCUGGCUAAGCUUUUCCCCUUUUCAACUGUGAGAGAAGGGUCAUAGGUUUCUGGUUUUUGUUGUUGUUGUUGAUGUUUUUGUUGCAGGCAGUUGACAGAUCUUUGCCAUGGUGGUUUGCUUUGUUUGCAGGUGGAAGCAUCCUUAAGUGUUAUGGAAGUUGCAAGAUUUCAUAUCUACUUAUGAGUGAAUUUGAUUGAACAUGUUAGAACCAGAGAGGAUAUUGAAUAAGACAUAAUUCAUCUGCCAGUUUGAUGAUCAAUUUGACUAUGUAUCGAGUAUAUUACAUUCUGAAGUUUCAAAUAAUUGAAUUUACACUGUGAGAUUACGGUCUUGG
rnacentral:lncRNA from 1 species